rnacentral:rRNA from 1 species
GCCGGAGGCUACUGCUAUUGGAAUUCGACUAAGCCAUGCGAGUCAAGGUGUCUUCGGACGCCGGCAUACGGCUCAGUAACACGUAGGUAACCUACCCUCAGGACUGAGAUAACCCCGGGAAACUGGGGCUAAUAUUAGAUAGAUAAAAGAUACUGGAAUGUUCUUUUAUCCAAAGCUUUUGCGCCUGAGGAUGGGCCUGCGCCCGAUUAGGUUGUUGGUGGGGUAAUGGCCCACCAAGCCUACGAUCGGUACGGGCAGUGGGAGCUGAAGCCCGGAGUUGGGGACUGAGACAAGGCCCCAGGCCCUACGGGGCGCAGCAGGCGCGAAACCUCUGCAAUGCGGGAAACCGUGACAGGGGGAUUCCAAGUGCUCAUGCAUUGCAUGGGCUGUUCUUUGGUCUAAGUAACCAGAGGAGUAAGGGCUGGGCAAGACCGGUGCCAGCCGCCGCGGUAAUACCGGCAGCUCAAGUGGUAGCCGCGAUUAUUGGGCCUAAAACGUUCGUAGCCGGAUAAGUAAGUCUUUGGUUAAAUCCUGCGACUUAACCGUGGGAAAUCUAGAGAUACUGCUUGUCUUGAGACCGGGAGAGGUUGGAGGUACUCCCAGGGUAGGGGUGAAAUCCUGUAAUCCUGGGGGGACCACCUGUGGCGAAGGCGUCCAACUGGAACGGGUCUGACGGUGAGGGACGAAACCUAGGGGAGCGAGCCGGAUUAGAUACCCGGGUAGUCCUAGGCGUAAAUGAUGCGAGUUAAGUGUGGGGGCAUCCACGAGAUGGCCCUGUGCUGUAGGGUAGCCGUUAAACUCGCUGCCUGGGGAGUACGGUCGCAAGGCUGAAACUUAAAGGAAUUGGCGGGGGAGCACCACAAGAGGUGGAGGCUGCGGUUCAAUUGGAUUCAACGCCGG